rnacentral:rRNA from 1 species
GACGAACGCUGGCGGCGUGCUUAACACAUGCAAGUCGAACGGAAAGGCCCUGCUUUUGUGGGGUGCUCGAGUGGCGAACGGGUGAGUAACACGUGAGUAACCUGCCCUUGACUUUGGGAUAACUUCAGGAAACUGGGGCUAAUACCGGAUAGGAGCUCCUGCUGCAUGGUGGGGGUUGGAAAGUUUCGGCGGUUGGGGAUGGACUCGCGGCUUAUCAGCUUGUUGGUGGGGUAGUGGCUUACCAAGGCUUUGACGGGUAGCCGGCCUGAGAGGGUGACCGGCCACAUUGGGACUGAGAUACGGCCCAGACUCGUACGGGAGGCAGCAGUGGGGAAUAUUGCACAAUGGGCGGAAGCCUGAUGCAGCAACGCCGCGUGCGGGAUGACGGCCUUCGGGUUGUAAACCGAUUUCGCCUGUGACGAAGCGUGAGUGACGGUAAUGGGUAAAGAAGCACCGGCUAACUACGU